rnacentral:rRNA from 1 species
AUUGAACGCUGGCGGCAGGCCUAACACAUGCAAGUCGAACGAGCGGCGGACGGGUGAGUAUUGUCUGGGAAACUGCCCGAUGGAGGGGGAUAACUACUGGAAACAGUAGCUAAUACCGCAUACUAUCGGAUGUGCCCACAUGGGAUUAGCUAGUUGGUGGGGUAUAGGCUCACCUAGGCGACGAUCCCUAGCUGGUCUGAGAGGAUGAUCAGCCACACGGGGACUGAGACACGGUCCAGACUCCUACGGGAGGCAGCAGUGGGGAAUAUUGCGCAAUGGACGCAAGCCUGAUGCAGCCAUGCCGCGUGUAUGAAGAAGGCCUUCGGGUUGUAAAGUACUUUCAUCGAGGAGGCGUUACUCGCAGAAGAAGCACCGGCUAACUCCGUGCCAGCAGCCGCGGUAAUUC